rnacentral:rRNA from 1 species
UACGUAGGGUGCAAGCGUUAAUCGGAAUUACUGGGCGUAAAGCGUGCGCAGGCGGUUUUGUAAGACAGGUGUGAAAUCCCCGGGCUUAACCUGGGAACUGCAUUUGUGACUGCAAGGCUGGAGUGCGGCAGAGGGGGAUGGAAUUCCGCGUGUAGCAGUGAAAUGCGUAGAUAUGCGGAGGAACACCGAUGGCGAAGGCAAUCCCCUGGGCCUGCACUGACGCUCAUGCACGAAAGCGUGGGGAACAAACAGG